UGUUUAUUGAAAUGGUGAAAUAUAUUGAUUGUGCAGGCUUAAAAUUUAUUUGAUAUUGUCAGCUUGAUUAGUAGAUAUUCCAUUCACGAAAACUUGAGGUGUGAACGGGAUUAGAUACCCCAUUAGUUCACGUAAUAAAUUAUGGCUUAUUGUGGUUUGAGAUUGUAUUUAACAAUUGAAGGAUGUAAACCUAAGAAGUAUGCUUUCAUAAGUGAAACUUAAAUGUUUUGGUGGUGAUUUAGAACAAUGGUGGAACAUAUGAUUUAAUUCGAUGUUAUGCGAUAAAGCUUAUCAAUUUUUGUUUUCUUUCCAUACCUUUUAGAAGGUAGAACUCUAUUCUCGGUAGUGCAUGGCUGUUUUUGAAGGUAAUGUUUUGUAAUAUCUGGUUCAGUUCAGUAAUAAUCGACACACUAAU
rnacentral:rRNA from 1 species